ensembl:lncRNA
UAAUGAUUAUUUCAUAAAUAAAAUAAAUAAACUUAAAAAUACUACACAGCCAUACAAGACAGAUUUAUCAAAUAUAUUAAUAAAUAAAAUGAUGGAAGGUAAAACAUGUAGCUUUAAAUUUAAGAGUGUCAGUGGUUCUAAAGUGGAAUUACUUCUGAUGAAUUGUAAAAACAAACCACCUGGCGUUGAUUUCCUUGAACAUAAGUUGCUGAAGCCAAUAGUCUCAAUCAUUGCUCCUAUUAUUGCUCAUAUAAUUAAUUUGUGUUUUACGGAUAAUAUAUGUCUACAAGCAUGGAAAAUAUGUAAAGUUGUGCCAAUACCGAAAAAUAAGAAAAUGCCUUUCUCUGGGCCAAACAGUACACCAAUAAGUUUAUUACCUAUUCUCGGUAAAAUAAUGGAAAGAAUUGUUUAUGAACAGAUUCAGUCUUAUUUUAUGAAUAAUGAUUUAAUUACAACUUUUCAGCAUGCAUAUAGAGGAAAACACUCAACAGCCACUGCUUUGACUCAGAUGGUUGAUGACUGGUACAAGGAUAUGGAGGAGAGGAAAAUAAUAGGUGUUGUAAUGCUUGAUUUCACUGCAGCAUUUGAUAUAAUUGACCAUGACUUACUGUUAAAAAAACUGGAAUACUAUGGUUUUUCACGAACCGCAUUAUUAUGGAUGGAAAGUUAUUUGUCAGACAGAAGACAAUUAGUUUACUUUAAUGUAAGCUUUUCAAAGGUAAGGGUCGUGGAACAGGGCGUGCCUCAGGGAAGUUGUCUUGGGCCGCUCCUCUACACAAUCUUUACCAAUGAUCUUCCAACUGUUUUAGAUAAAGCAAGCAUUUCAAUGUUUGCUGAUGAUUCCACUGUAUAUUUAUCAGGAACUGAUAUUGGUGAUUUAAAUACAAAACUACAAAAAGAACUACAGUUAGUGGUGAACUGGAUAAGGAAAAAAAAAAUUGAUUCUCAAUGUAUCUAAAACUAACUGUUUUGUGGUUGGAACUCCUUUUUCUUUACUUUCCAAACCGAAGCUUGAACUUAGCAUAGAGCAAAAUUCAGUUGAGCAAAAAGAAGAGGCCAAACUAUUGGGAGUGAUGAUUGAUAGUAGAUUGUGUUUGGACAAACAUGUUCAGAAACUCUUAACUAAAAUGGGCAACACUUUGGCUGUUAUUAAAAGAUUUGUAACAGAUUGUUAAACAAGUACUUCAUGCAUUG